rnacentral:rRNA from 1 species
ACAUGCAAGUCGAGCGGUAAGGCCCUUCGGGGUACACGAGCGGCGAACGGGUGAGUAACACGUGGGUGAUCUGCCUCGCACUUCGGGAUAAGCCUGGGAAACUGGGUCUAAUACCGGAUAUGACCUGCUGUCGCAUGGCGGUGGGUGGAAAGAUUUAUCGGUGCGAGAUGGGCCCGCGGCCUAUCAGCUUGUUGGUGGGGUAAUGGCCUACCAAGGCGACGACGGGUAGCCGGCCUGAGAGGGCGACCGGCCACACUGGGACUGAGACACGGCCCAGACUCCUACGGGAGGCAGCAGUGGGGAAUAUUGCACAAUGGGCGAAAGCCUGAUGCAGCGACGCCGCGUGAGGGAUGACGGCCUUCGGGUUGUAAACCUCUUUCGACAGGGACGAAGCGCAAGUGACGGUACCUGUAGAAGAAGCACCGGCCAACUACGUGCCAGCAGCCGCGGUCC